AGAAAUGAUUGUUAAACUAGCUAUAUUUAACAUUAUAUUUUCUUCUUUACAGGUACCAGCGACCUGGCUCCCACCUCGCCUGGGUCCCCCAGGACCUCAGAUGGGGGGAAAGAGUACCUUUUCAGUGGAACAGAGGAGAAUCAGUUGAGAUAGAGUUCUUGUCCAAAAGCUAAGUCUGAGGUUUACAGCAAAACAGCCAACAGGAGCUUGGAGGGAAAAAGCUGUCCCACAACAAAAGCCCAGCUCAAGAACCCCUAGAGACCAGAGAAGUUUGGAGCUUUAAAAGCUGCUCCCCAGAAGUAAAUUACAGGAAGCACCAAGCUGGCAUCUGUUGUGAAAAUAAUAUGUGCCAGAGAGGGAAAGGAGAAUACCAAGAAGGACAUCAGGUAUGGUCAUUUUGUUUUGAUUCUUUUUGUCAAGCAACAUAUAUAGGCCGCAAUUGCAUUAAAUUAAUAUGAUGUGCACUUUCUGUCUGUUGUUGUCUUUAUUUGUUAGGUGCAGUGCAGCAGGAGCAUUCCCACAACUUUUGAUCACACUCUCCUAUGAGAAAACUUUAACAAAUUUUAUAAAAAUAAAAGUGCUUUCAUCAAAUAG